UUUUAUAUACUUUUUUUUUUCUUUUCGGAUUUCAGCGUUGUGGAUCCUCUAAUGGCGGAUUCUGAUAACAUGAUCAUGAGUGGAAGACAAACCCCACCCAAUGGGAAUCAGUUAUGCAAAAUCAUUCUUUUUUGAAAUGGGUUUGUGUAGAUUCAAGUUUUUCAAGCUGGGCCACUCCAUCCAUAGCCCAGAGUGAGCGAUUUUCUUUUUUUUUUUUUUAAUAUAUUUUGAGUGUUAUAAUAUCUGUUGAUUCUGCCCUCUUCCGCUUUCGGGCAUGUAUGGAUGUGCUAUGGAAUUGGAUUUCAAUUUUAGUUUGAUAAAUUGAGAUAACCAAAUUAGAGUUUCUCUUGUCAGCAUUCAUGUUGAGGAUCUGGGUUGGUGACUUUGAAAAUUUCUCUUGUCCGAAUACAUUAAGUCUGUGGAGACAAGCGUUUGUUGGUGAAUAAUCCACGGUUUUGAAUGCAUAUAAUGCUGGUGCAAGAAUAGUCAAGGUCAACUUCAUCACUAUAAUGUAAAAUACAUGUUUGAGCUGAUCCCUGACAUUGCGGAGCUCUUCAUCUGCUUGACGACUAUCAUUGAAUUGUCUUUUUAUUUUGAAGUCUUCCAUUGCAGAUUUUAGUUUUUCCUGUCAGGUUUACAAGUCAGAUGAAUAAUGUUUUAGAUUACAUCAUGGUUGUAUUUACCAUCUGUUGAUUCUUAAAUGGAUAUGGCUUCAAAUA